rnacentral:rRNA from 1 species
AUUGAACGCUGGCGGCAGGCCUAACACAUGCAAGUCGAACGAGUGGCGGACGGGUGUGUAAUGUCUGGGAAACUGCCCGAUGGAGGGGGAUAACUACUGGAAACGGUAGCUAAUACCGCAUACCAUCGGAUGUGCCCAGAUGGGAUGGGCUAGUAGGUGGGGUAACGGCUCACCUAGGAGACGAUCCCUAGCUGGUCUGAGAGGAUGACCAGCAACACUGGAACUGAGACACGGCCCAGACUCCUACGGGAGGCAGCAGUGGGGAAUAUUGCACAAUGGGCGCAAGCCUGAUGCAGCCAGGCCGCGUGUAUGAAGAAGGCCUUCGGGUUGUAAAGUACUUUCAGCGAGGAGGCGUUACUCGCAGAAGAAGCACCGGCUAACUCCGUGCCAGCAGCCGCGGUAAUAC